CUGGGCCCCUUGUGUAUAUGAUUUCUUUGCCCCCAAGCCCCCCCAACCCCCCCCGGGUGAAAUCGCUUUCUGAGACCCUACUAACUCUAACCUUAACAUUGUCUAUGCUGGUACAUUUGAGCAAUUUAAAGCAUCCUUGCUGAAAACUGACCCCAACUGACCCCAAACUUGAACAGCAUUGUACAGUGGACAUAAAAGGACAGUCGCAAGCCAUUUUACUUCUGUAAUGUGAGGCGCAACAUUCAAUAAUGAAAAACUAAGUUAAGAACCCGAGAGGCUCUUAAACAAUGCCUUUCUCCAUCUAACUAUUCACCACUUCUAUUUUUACUGCAGUUCUUUUCUGUUUUACACAAUAGGCUGAACUGUCAUCAAGGUCCUGGAUGUGCACAUGCUUUCAAUGAAACCAAAUUGAAUUAACCCAAAUAAUUUGUGAGUUUCCUUGGCUUUUUGUUUCCCCUUCUGACCCCAGACACAAAGCAGCCACUGUUGGUGUUAAUCAAGGCUUUUAACUUUGCUUAAUCAGUUAACAUGUUGCUAACCUUACAGCUUGAUACCCUAAUAAGCAUGAAAAUACAUAAACGUCUGUUCAAAAGAUUGGGGUCCAUAAGAUCAUGUUAGUUUUAGUUCGUUUUGUCCCAUCAAAGUGCAUUUGAGGUUUCAUCACAUCAAAGUGUAUUUGGACCAGACACUGUACAAUAGUUUUCUGUGAUGUUUCCUGUGUGACCAUGGCAUAAUAUUGUGCUUGUCUCAUACUCCUAAGGUCUUUAAAUGCCUGUGCGUGCGUAUGAGUAAGUGUGUGCAUGUCUGUGGAUCUAUUCAAGGUAUUCGCGACGCGCCGCACACGCUCACGACGAGAAGGAAAUCGUUCAUUUCAAGUGGUCUACUCCCUCUGAAGUGCUGCACAGCUAUGAAUCAAAGGAGAUCUGGAUCGCUCCACCUCAGUUCUACGAGCUUGCACGCAUGUGCCGGUUUCCAGCGCUCAGGGAUCUCCAUGGCUUUGCCUGGCAGAGGGCUCUGGAGGGCUGCGAACAUUGGCUGCCUAUUCUCCUGGUGGCACCUGACUGCUUAG
rnacentral:lncRNA from 1 species